rnacentral:rRNA from 1 species
CGUGGUAUCCUGUCUGAAUAUGGGGGGACCAUCCUCCAAGGCUAAAUACUCCUGACUGACCGAUAGUGAACCAGUACCGUGAGGGAAAGGCGAAAAGAACCCCGGCGAGGGGAGUGAAAAAGAACCUGAAACCGUGUACGUACAAGCAGUGGGAGCCUCUUUAUGGGGUGACUGCGUACCUUUUGUAUAAUGGGUCAGCGACUUAUAUUCUGUAGCAAGGUUAACCGAAUAGGGGAGCCGAAGGGAAACCGAGUCUUAACUGGGCGUUAAGUUGCAGGGUAUAGACCCGAAACCCGGUGAUCUAGCCAUGGGCAGGUUGAAGGUUGGGUAACACUAACUGGAGGACCGAACCGACUAAUGUUGAAAAAUUAGCGGAUGACUUGUGGCUGGGGGUGAAAGGCCAAUCAAACCGGGAGAUAGCUGGUUCUCCCCGAAAGCUAUUUAGGUAGCGCCUCGUGAAUUCAUCUCCGGGGGUAGAGCACUGUUUCGGCAAGGGGGUCAUCCCGACUUACCAACCCGAUGCAAACUGCGAAUACCGGAGAAUGUUAUCACGGGAGACACACGGCGGGUGCUAACGUCCGUCGUGAAGAGGGAAACAACCCAGACCGCCAGCUAAGGUCCCAAAGUCAUGGUUAAGUGGGAAACGAUGUGGGAAGGCCCAGACAGCCAGGAUGUUGGCUUAGAAGCAGCCAUCAUUUAAAGAAAGCGUAAUAGCUCACUGGUCGAGUCGGCCUGCGCGGAAGAUGUAACGGGGCUAAACCAUG